rnacentral:rRNA from 1 species
GUAGUAAUACAAGGCAGACGGCUCAGUAACACGUAGCCAAUCUAACCUAUGGACGGGGAUAACCUCGGGAAACUGAGGAUAAACCCCGAUAGAUCAUUAUGCCUGGAAAGGUUUAUGGUCCAAAUGAUUCGUCGCCGUAGGAUGAGACUGCGGCCUAUCAGCUUGUUGGUGAGGUAAUGGCCCACCAAGGCUAUUACAGGUACGGGCUCUGAGAGGAGAAGCCCGGAGAUGGGUACUGAGACACGGACCCAGGCCCUAUGGGGCGCAGCAGGCGAGAAACCUUUGCAAUGUGCGCAAGCACGACAAGGUUAAUCCGAGUGUUUCCUGCUUAAGGAAUCUUUCGUUAGUCCUAAAAACACUAGUGAAUAAGGGGAGGGCAAGCCUGGUGUCAGCCGCCGCGGUAAUACCAGCUCCCCGAGUGGUGAGGAUGUUUAUUGGGCCUAAAGCGUUCGUAGCCGGUUUGGUAAGUCUCCCGUUAAAUCUACCGACUUAAUCGGUAGGCUGCGGGAAAUACUGCUAGACUAGGAGGCGGGAGAGGUCGGCGGUAGUCCCGGGGUAGGGGUAAAAUCCUAUAAUCCUGGGAGGACCACCAGUGGCGAAGGCGGCCGACCAGAACGCGCUCGACGGUGAGGGACGAAAGCUGGGGGAGCGAACCGGAUUAGAUACCCGGGUAGUCCCAGCCGUAAACGAUGCGGGCUAGGUGUUGGUACGGCUACGUGCCGUUCCAGUGCCGCAGGGAAGCUG